UUCCUCAUCAAUCAUGGGGCGCUAGCCUGGGUGAGAUGCAGGCCCUGGGCAGCCACACCUCUGCUCCCCAGAACUUAGAAUGUUUCUCCAGGGAGAGAAUUUCACAGCUCAUUGACUGCUCUGACUCCUAAUCUACACCGGAGGAAACAAUGUUGCAGCUCAUCAAAUGCAAUCAGCUGCUAAUUGAAAGGAAAUGGAAUUUUACAAUUACAGGCCACCUUUCAGUGCUCAGGAUUUCUAAGCCUUCUCCCCACCCUCCUUGGCCAGCUCAGCACUGGCAGGAGCACUUGACAACCUGCUGGAGACUUCCCUGAGAACUGCAUUUAGGAUCUGGCCCAGAGCCGCAAAAAGGGAAGCAGCAUCCUUGCCAGUUCCUAGACUGUCCUUCAAGGCUCAGUGCAAAGGGAAGAGGCUGGGGUUGGGCAUCCACAGACCUAAGUGAGUGUGCUGGCUCACCUUCCCGCCGCCCCUUUGACUUGAACAAGGUAUGCCCUUGUUCUUCCCCGAGCCCCACUUUCCUUCUCUCCAAAAUCAAGAUUUAAUGAUUUCCAAGGUUCUCAUUGGGCUUCCUUGGUGGCUCAAUGGUAAAGAAUCUGCCUGCAAUGCUGGAGAAAUGGGUUCAAUUACUGGGUUGGAAAGAUUCGCUGGAGAAGGAAAUAGCAAUCCGCACCAGUAUUCUUGCCUGGAAAAUCGCAUGGACAGAGGAGUCUGGAAGGCUACAGUCCAUGGGGUUGCAAAAGAGUCAGACAUGACUGAGCAACUAAACAACAAAACAACAGAGCUUAUUAGCUCCGAGGAUUCUGUUCACCCUAUUCCUGCUACUAUUCCCAUCCAGUGGACAACAUCUAAGUGGACAUACUCUUGCUGGCCCAGAUAUCUGCUUUUGCAAAUGCUACCAGGAUUAUCAGUUCCCUGAGGGCAAAGUCUCUGGAAAAUGUUACUGCAUCUAAUCACGGCCUGGAUGCUGUGCAGGAGAACACUCUAAGAGGCCAGGCGUGCGGCCUGGAUUUGCCUAACCUUGGCUGGAACUUCAGAGCUCAGGGAUUCAGUUGCAGAUCAGCUCAGAGGUCUGUUUCUGAUUAGCUUGACAGCCAUCUUGAAUGCCUGCUAGUCAUUUAACCUGGCAGAGAGUAAAGGCCUCUCCCCCAAAUAGAGUGUAAAACCACAACCACAACCCACAAGACCUUGAGACGUGCAAAUCCAGCCAUUACCCAAUGGCAAGUAUGGGAGUGUGCCGGGAGGCGGUCUCUUCCAGAUCCUUAAGUCCAGAUUCACUUUGGAUCACAUUGCACUGACUCACGGAGGACACAGUGGGAGGACUGACCUUCCAGUGUCACCAACCUCAACAGUUGCAGGACCCUGAGGAUGAUUUUGUACCUGAAUGAGUCUGAAGUCUCAAAGGAUCAAGUCACUUGGGGAUUCAGUAAGGCAGAGGAGCUGUGGGAUUGCCUGAUGGUGAUGUCAUAGCCAUGCCAGCACCACCUUCUAAGCAGCCAUCUGCCUCUUUGAGUAGCCUCUACCCCACCUUGAUUUAUACAUGAUAUUUUAUAAUAGCCAAAGCGAUGCUCAAAGAAAUUUCCUCAGCCUCCUACCACCACCCUGGGCAUGUAAUAAUGCCACAGAAGUACACGACCUGUCAUGUCUUAUUACUUAAGUAUAGGUCUGAGAAGCUUCUCCAUGAGGCAGCAUAAUAUGAAUGCUACCCAGGAUUGGCCCCAUAGAACACAGAGACAGAACACUAUCAUCUCAGCGUUCUCAAGCAGAAUUCCUAUCUCCAGGCUUUAUUCCAAUUAAAGCUGAAAAACAUGGAGCCAUGGUGCCCAGCUCUCCUUUCUGGCAUGUUGGCAGAAACACAGUAAGGAUAUGGACCCAGAAGUCCAGCUUUGGGCCCCAGGUCCGCAGCUCCCUGCCUGAGUGUGUUGAGAAAGUCCCCUUCAGAGUUGCAACUUCCUCCUCUCAAGAGUGAGGGUAAUGAUACAGCUUGCCUGGUGAGUUCUUAAGAGGAUCAAGUGACCCAAUAGGUUGAAAAAUGUGUGUGUGUGCAUGUGUGUGCGUGUGCACAUGCCCAAAUGCUCAGUCAUGUCCAAUUCUUCUGUGACCCCGUGGACAGGAGUCCACCAGACUCCUCUGUCCAUGGGAUUGUCCAGGCAAGAAUACUAGAGUGAGUGGCCAUUUCCUACCUCAGGGGAUUUUCCCAACCCAGGAAUUGAACCCACACCUCUUGUGUCUCCUGCCUUGGCAGGCAGAGACUUACUACUACUACUACCUGGGAAGCCCUGCUUUGUCAAUUAAGC
ensembl:lncRNA